AGAAAAUUGACAUGCAAUUUAAAAUUAUAGCAGGUCCCGUCUACAAACAUGGUAGAGCCUUUAACUUCUGAUUGGCUGGGUGUAUAAAUUUCUCAACGAUAAAUUUCACACAGGCAGCGGGGUGCUCUUCGCUGGAAUCUGAGAAGUUUCAUUGUGGAUGCUAAUAUCAAAAUUGGUCGCUGAUUUAGCAUCAUCAGCGUUCGCAAAAUCAAGGGUGCCAUUUUUAUUCUCAUCUGUCAAUGCUGGUGUUGUUGAGAUUGUCCGAUCCUUGCUUUUACCCCACACAA
rnacentral:misc_RNA from 1 species